CUCAGGAUGAACGCUAGCGGCAGGCCUAACACAUGCAAGUCGAGGGGUAAGGCUCUUUCGGGAGUACACGACCGGCGCACGGGUGAGUAUCGCGUUUGCAAUCUACCUCUAACUGGAGAAUAGCCCGAAGGAAUUCGGAUUAAUACUCCAUAACAUUAUUUAGUCGCAUGACUUUAUAAUUAAAGCCCCGGCGGUUAGAGAUGAGCAUGCGUGUCAUUAGUUAGUUGGUGAGGUAACGGCUCACCAAGGCAACGAUGACUAGGGGGUCUGAGAGGAUGAUCCCCCACACUGGUACUGAGACACGGACCAGACUCCUACGGGAGGCAGCAGUGAGGAAUAUUGGGCAAUGGGCGCAAGCCUGACCCAGCCAUGCCGCGUGCAGGAUGACUGCCCUAUGGGUUGUAAACUGCUUUUAUACGGGAAGAAAGAUUUCUACGUGUAGAGAUUUGACGGUACCGUAAGAAUAAGCAUCGGCUAACUCCGUGCCAGCAGCCGCGGUAAUACGGAGGAUGCAAGCGUUAUCCGGAUUCAUUGGGUUUAAAGGGUGCGCAGGCGGAAUAUUAAGUCAGUGGUGAAAUCCUGCAGCUUAACUGUAGAACUGCCAUUGAUACUGAUAUUCUUGAAUAUAGUUGAGGUAGGCGGAAUGAGUAAUGUAGCGGUGAAAUGCUUAGAUAUUACUCAGAACACCGAUUGCGAAGGCCAGCUUACUAAACUAUCAUUGACGCUGAGGCACGAAAGCGUGGGGAGCGAACAGGAUUAGAUACCCUGGUAGUCCACGCUGUAAACUAUGAUCACUCGCUGUUGGCAAUACACAGUCAGCGGCUGAGCGAAAGCAUUAAGUGAUCCACCUGGGGAGUACAGUCGCAAGAUUGAAACUCAAAGGAAUUGACGGGGGCCCGCACAAGCGGAGGAACAUGUGGUUUAAAUUCGAUGAUACGCGAGGAACCUUUACCUGGGCUUAAUUGCAGAGCGACGUUCCCGGGAAACCCGGAAUCCUUCGGGGCGAUCUGGCAAGGUGCU
rnacentral:rRNA from 1 species